UGAGUAGGCGGGGGGAAGGAGGUAAGCCAACCCAAGCUCAAUGGCGGCGAAUCAGCAUCCGAGCCGCUCGGAACCCUAGCCUCGCCGCCUCGCCGGCUCGCCAUGGCAUGCCCUCCUUGCCCGCCGUCGCCGCUCGCCAGGGUGCGGCUCGACGACGUGGCGCCCCACGACGGCGCGGCCGCCCCGGGCUACGCGCGCGCCGUCGGCGCCCUCGCCGCCUCGCUCGCCCGCCGCGGCGCCGCCGUGGUCGAGCUCCCCGCCGCCGACGCGGCCGUCGUCCGCUGCGCCCUCGAGUCCGCCCGCGCCUUCUUCCGCGGCCGCCACGCCGCCUACCUCUACCGCGCCGGGAGGAAUUUAGAAGAUGGAGAGUUGUCCCCUGCUUGCAUGGCGGAUGCUUUCAGAUGUUUGGGCAAAGCAGCCCGUGCCGCCCUCUGUGCAAUAGCACGGCACCUGCGCCUACGUACCGACGUAUUCAACCAAUUACUUGAUGAUACUCCACUGCCGGUUAACGAGGUCUCCUCAUCAGAGUUGCUGGUGGCAUAUACUCAUGAGCAGCUCCAAAGUGGUCAGACACUCAUGGGAUGUCCCAGCAGGUCCUCAAUGCCUCAAGUUGAUAGGGGAUUUGUGACGCUAGUUGCUUCCGAUUAUCCAGGAAUUGAGGUUUGUGACCCAAAUGGCCAUUGGUACCUAGCUGAUGGGGUUUCAGGCCCAAAUAAUCUAUUGCUUCUGACUGGAAGGGCCCUAAGUCACGUUACUGCUGGUCUUUGCCCAAUUUCCCAGUACAGGGUCACUAAUGAAAAUAGGGCAUCACUCACCUUUAGGUUGGUCCCUCAUGCCAACGCUAUAUUGGAUUGCUCUCCAAUUUUAGCUGCUGGGCAUUGCAUACGACAGGUGUACCAACCCAUACCUGCAAGCCAAUUUAUGGAUGAUUCUUAUGCUGAAGAGCACGCUGUUUCCAGUCACUUGGAAGAACCUUCUGAAUCUCAGGGCAACUUUGUUAGUGACCCAUCACUCAGAAGUGUCCUGUCAGACCCUCUGUCUGGGGCUUUUCUUGAAGAUGCUAUGGUUCUCCAAUGUGGGCACUCAUUUGGUGGCGUCAUGCUGAAGAAAGUCAUUGAAAUGGCUAGAUGCACCAUUUGCAAUGGGGAAGUUGACCCAUCCUCCUUGUUUCCUAAUCUCGCUUUGAGAGCAGUAGCCACAGUGGUGAAGAUGGAGGAUGACAGGAGACUGUUUCAUAACGCCGCUCUUCGGAAGCGCAGGAAAGAUGUGACCGAGCAUACGGAUGUGCCGAAGCGGACUGGGAGUAGCAAAGCCAACAGUGAGUUUGCCCUGGAUGCUGAAAGCCCGGUGGCAUUCAAGGGAGUGCAGUACCCAUUUGUAGUGGGCGAGAGGGUCCUGAUCAUGGGAAACAAAAGGACGCCUGAGAAAUUCGUCGGGAAGGAGGCGGUCAUCACUUUGCAGUGUCUGAAUGGCUGGUAUCUUGUGAAGGCGCUCGACAGCGGAGAGAGCACGCGGCUGCAGUACCGGUCGCUGAAGAAAGUGCCGGAGCUGCAACUGCAGACGCAAGCGAGGCUGCAGCCCCUGGCAUUUCUCGGAGGCAGACAAUAAGAGAUGCCGAUGACGGAUCAUGCGUGGACCAUAACCACCGCCCAAGGUGUUGGUCAGGUAGAGCGCUCCCCUCCCUUGUUCGAAGGCGAGACCAAAGUAAAAGUCGAGAGUAUGAAAGUCUUGUGCCUGCCUUAGGGUAUCCGCUAUCAGGCCAUGCGAUGCGACGGCUGUAGUAAGUGACCUAUGUUUGUGCGUCAAAUCUGUUCAUGUUUUAGUUUGUGGAGGAAGAAUGUGUUUGUGUGUGUUCUUCAAGGGUGGCUCCAGAUUGUACAAGACCUUUUUGUGACCUGUCGUGUGUACAGUUUGUUCU